rnacentral:lncRNA from 1 species
CUGACUGUCAAGCUUGCUGGGGAACAAGACCCAGAAUGUGGAGACUGAGGCCCAGAGAAGGAUGGCUGUGCUCCUGCAGGCCCUGCCCCCACCCUGGCCACAUCUCCAGCAGCUGCUCCCCUUGUUCGAGAUCACAGAGGUGGGGCCACUCGCACCCCACCUCCUGCGUGGGGACAGGCCUAGUCGCCUCAGAAAGUCUCCAUCUGAGACCAAAAGGAGUUUCCUGUAGCUGUGCCUGCCUGUCCAGCUCUUCCAUCAGCAUCCUCUCUCCUGUGGCCCCCACCCUGCGGGGACUUCGGCUCCACUGCCCAGAGGAGGCCCGGAUGGUCAGAGGUGAGUGGUAAUUUGCUGCGCCAGCUCUUCCCUGUGUGAUCAGGAGAGAGAAGGAGUGGGCCAUCGGGGAGGGCCUGGCGAGGUGGGAGCACGAGUGUGGGGUGCAUGUACCAGGUAUCAGGUUGUUAGUCUAAAUCCGGCCUGGAAGGAGAGGCCAAGGGAAGCCAAGUCGUAACAGGUGGUGGUGUUUUCAUCUCUUUCCUUCCUCCAGGCUGCUGCAAGCAUGCCCUCCCCGGGUCCUCCCAUCGCCAGGGAGAGGCCUGCCUCUGGUACACACCCCCUCUGACCUGAUAAAGGGAUGGGGGUGCUGAGAAUGUGGCCUGGACAAGAGUGGGUAAAGGCUGGGCACAGCUGGCAGCCCAAGGAUUGCCUUGAGAAUUGCCUUAGGACUCAUCCAGUGACCCAGUUAGAGCGGGGUCCAGGCAUGCCAGCUGCCAGGGAAGCAGAUGGGUUGGGGCCUGGGGGACCUCGGAAGGUUCAGCCUUGCCAUGCUGCACUCCCACCGGGGCCAGAGCAGUCGGCUCCAGGUGCGUCUGGACCCAGGAGACGCGCAUCUCACCGCAGGUCAUUGUUAGACAAAUUCACAUUUCUUUAAUGAAUUCGUUCCCUCGGUGCCUGCAAUCAUCUCAGCCCUGGACAAGGCUGGGGACAUGGAGCUCCCAGCUGGGGAAGGAAGUGGUUGUCAUUUAGUCGCUUCAGUCGUGUCCGACUGUGUGCGACCCCAUGGACUGCUGCCCACCAGGCUCCUCUGCCCAUGGGAUUUUCCAGGCACGAAUACUGGAGUGGGUUGCCAUUUCCUUCUCCAAGGGAUCUUCCUGACCCAGGGACUGAACCUGUGUCUCCUGCAUUGCAGGCAAUUGCUUUACCACUGAGCCAUCAGGGAAACCUGAGGGAGGUGGACAAGGAC